CAAUAGCGUAUAUUAAAGUUGUUGCAGUUAAAAAGCUCGUAGUUGGACUUCGGGGUCCUCUGGCCGGUCGCUCGAAAGGGUUUGUACUGGUCGCAGGACCCUUCCUUCUGAAGACGGUGUCUGUUCUUAACUGGACGGGCAUUCGGAUUCAGAUCGUUUACUUUGAAAAAAUUAGAGUGUUUAAAGCAGGCCACUGCCUUGAAUACAUUAGCAUGGAAUAAUGGAAUAGGACUUUGGUUCUAUUUUGUUGGUUUCUAGGACCGAAGUAAUGAUUAAUAGGGAUAGUUGGGGGCAUUAAUAUUUAAUUGCUAGAGGUGAAAUUCUCAGAUUUAUGAAAGAUUAACUUCUGCGAAAGCAUUUGCCAAGGAUGUUUUCAUUAA
rnacentral:rRNA from 1 species